rnacentral:tRNA from 1 species
GCUGAAGUAGCUCAGUUGGUAGAGCAAUCGUCUCGUAAGCGAUAGGUCGCAGGUUCAAUCCCUGUUUUCAGCACCA